GUUCCGAUAGUGUAGUGGUUAUCACGUAACCUUCACACGGUUAAGGUCCUGGGUUCGACCCCCAGUCGGAACA
rfam:Lachancea lanzarotensis strain CBS 12615 genome assembly, scaffold: LALA0S10